rnacentral:rRNA from 1 species
AGGAGACGCUGGCGGCAUGCCUUACACAUGCAAGUCCGAACGGCAGCACGGACUAUCGUGUUGCUUGUGCUGUGUCGAUGUGGAGAACGGGUGAGUAAUACAUCGGAACGUGCCUAUGACUGGGGGAUAACUACUCCAAAGAGUGGCUAAUACCGCAUGAGAUCUACGGAUGAAAGCAGGGGAUCGCAAGACCUUGUGCUACUAGAGCGGCCGAUGGCAGAUUAGGUAUUUGGUGGGAUAAAAGCUUACCCCCCCAACGAUCUGUAUCUGGUCUGAGAGGAAAAUCCCCCACAAUGGGACUGGGAAACGGGCCCGACUCCCAACGUAACGGGGUUGGGGCAAUGUUUUGCACUUUGGAGGGGCCCCUAGACCCAAAAUGGCGGGGGGGGUGGGGAGGGUUUGGGUUUUUAAACCUAAUUUGUCCGGGCCGGAUUGUUAGGGG